rnacentral:tRNA from 3 species
GGAGUCGUGGCCGAGCGGUUUAAGGCGCACGCCUGGAAAGCGUGUUGGGUGGCAACGCCCUCGAGGGUUCGAAUCCCUCCGACUCCGCCA